rnacentral:rRNA from 1 species
AGGUGCUGCACGGCUGUCGUCAGCUCGUGUCGUGAGAGGUUGGGUUAAGUCCCGCAACGAGCGCAACCCUCGUGUUUAGUUACUAACAGUUCGGCUGAGGACUCUAGACAGACUGCCUGGGUAACCAGGAGGAAGGUGAGGACGACGUCAAGUCAUCAUGGCCCUUACGGCCAGGGCUACACACGUGCUACAAUGGGGUAUACAAAGAGCCGCAAUACCGCGAGGUGGAGCAAAUCUCAUAAAAUAUCUCCCAGUUCGGAUAGCAGUCUGCAACUCGACUGCUUGAAGUUGGAAUCGCUAGUAAUCGUAGAUCAGCAAUGCUACGGUGAAUACGUUCCCGGGUCUUGUACUCACCGCCCGUCACACCAUGGGAAUUGAAUUCAUUCGAAGCGGGGAUGCUAAAAUAGCUACCUUCCACAGUGGAUUUAGUAACUAGGGUGAAGUCGUAACAAGGUA